CACACAGAGGCGCCCUCGGUAGAGAAGCGUCUGGUUUGGGAACUGUGAGAUAAGCCCGGAAACAGUCACAGCAUUAGUGCUGAGGAGUGGCCGGGUGCCAAGUUCUAACAGCUCUUCCGACGGGACUCGGGUCCUUCUAAGACACGGAGUGGAUCCUUCUAAGACACGGAGUGGAUCCUGACCAGUAGACACAGGAGGUGAUGGAAUUUGCGGUGACCCUGGCUGGCCGGCAGUGAGCUUUCAGUGUGGACUGACAUUUUGGCGACUUUGGGAAAAGGAACCUCAUUCACACAAGCCAGGGCUCUGGGAACGGUCGCCCCGCCUUCCCGCCAAGGCUGGGCUGUGACGCUGACCCAGCGCGGCACACAGAUCCCUCUGUCCCCCGCUGGAUGCCCGCCAGGCUGCCACGGUCUGCGGAGCAAGACCCUCAGUGCGGGAGCCUGGCUCAGCCCUGGAAACCGCGGCUCAACAAAAAGCCUCUGUUGUCCUCGCAACGGUCUUUGCACAGAGAGGGUCCCGGCUGGCCUGGGCUGCAGGACGGAUUCGCAGAUGGACCUGAGAGAAAGCUCUGCGCUCCGUCAGUGCGGAGUUUUUGGGGAGGCGGCACUGAGUCAGACCAGUACUCGUGUGCCGGCUGUGAGAGGCCCCCAGACCCGGGACCAGGGCGUGGCCUGGGCAGACCUCCAGCCCUGCGGGUUUUGUGUGACUGCUGCAUUCAGUUCUCAGUCCUCUUUUGUCUUCAAAACCUGAGCCGUUUGGAUGGUGCCUGGAGGGAAGUGGGGAUCCGCUGA
rnacentral:lncRNA from 1 species